rnacentral:rRNA from 1 species
ACGAACGCUGGCGGCUGCUUAACACAUGCAAGUCGAACGGAGUGGCGAACGGGUGAGUAACGCGUGAGCAACCUGCCGAUGACAGUGGGGUAGCCUCGGGAAACCGGGAUUAAUACCGCAUAGUCAUAGAUGGGCUCGCGUCUGAUUAGCGCGUUGGUGAGAUAACGGCCCACCAAGGCGACGAUCAGUAGCCGGUCUGGGAGGAUGAACGGGCACAUUGGAACUGUGACACGGUCCAAACUCCUACGGGAGGCAGCAGUGGGGAAUAUUGCACAAUGGGGGAAACCCGGAUGCAGCGACGCCGCGUGAACGAAGAAGGUAUUCGUAUCGUAAAGUUCUGUCCUAUGGGAAGCAGUACCAUAGAAGAAAGCUCCGGCUAAAUACGUGCCAGCAGCCGCGGUAAUUC